rnacentral:rRNA from 1 species
UACGGGGGGGGCAAGCGUUGUUCGGAAUUACUGGGCGGAAAGGGCUCGUAGGUGGCCAACUAAGUCAGACGUGAAAUCCCUCAGCUUAACUGGGGAACUGCGUCUGAUACUGGAUGGCUUGAGUUUGGGAGAGGGAUGCGGAAUUCCAGGUGUAGCGGUGAAAUGCGUAGAUAUCUGGAGGAAUACCGGUGGCGAAGGCGGCAUCCUGGACCGACAUUGACGCUGAAAGGCGAAAGCUAGGGGAGCAAACGGG